UACGUAGGGGGCAAGCGUUGUCCGGAUUUAUUGGGCGUAAAUAGCGUGUAGGCGGCUUUACAGGUCCGUUGUGAAAACUCGAGGCUCAACCUCGAGACGCCGGUGGAAACCGUAAGGCUAGAGUCCGGAAGAGGAGAGUGGAAUUCCUGGUGUAGCGGUGAAAUGCGCAGAUAUCAAGCGGAACACCAGUGGCGAAGGCGAGUCCCUGGACAACACCUGACACUGAGGCACGAAAGCUAGGGGAGCAAACAGG
rnacentral:rRNA from 1 species